UUUGACCCGCGUGUAUGGUGAACACGCGCUUCUUAGCCGUGUGAUGAUCCACGUCAAUUAAUGAAUCACCAUCAGACGGCUCACACUUUUUCUAUUUUUCAUUUUUCUGAUUUUAAUUUCUUUUAUUUCUUUUAAUUCCAUUUUAUUUCUAAAAAUCAUAUCUCACUCAUUAUUGGUCCAAAAAAUGUGAGACCAAUUGCAUUAUUUCUCUUUUAAUUUCUAAUUUCUAAAAAUAAUUUUUUAUAUUUUU
rnacentral:lncRNA from 1 species